rnacentral:rRNA from 1 species
CGUCUAUAUACGUAUAGCAUAUCAAUAAGCGGAGGAAAAGAAACUAACCUAGGAUUCCCUCAGUAACGGCGAGUGAAGCGGGAAGAGCUCAAAUUUGAAAUCUUCAAGGUUCUACCUUGACGAAUUGUAGUUUAAAGAAGUGUUUUCUGUUGGAGUUUUGGUAAAAGUUCUUUGGAAUAGGACAUCAUAGAGGGUGAGAAUCCCGUAUUUGACCAUUAUUUCCAACUUUGUGAUACACUUUCAAAGAGUCGGAUUGUUUGGGAAUGCAGUCCAAAAUGGGUGUAAAUUUCAUCUAAAGCUAAAUACUGGCGAGAGACCGAUAGCGAACAAGUACCGUGAGGGAAAGAUGAAAAGAACUUUGAAAAGAGAGUUAAACAGUACGUGAAAUUGUCAAAAGGGAAGCGUUUGACACCAGUGUUGUUUUCUCGAAAAUCAAUUAAAAAUGACAUGAUUUUGUGUUGUAUUGACCUUUAUCAGCUUUCUUCACUCUUUUCCUAUCUUUUUAAUGCACUUUUCGUUUAACAAGUCAACAUCAGUUUCUUUUGUUGUAAAAGGGUCAUUGGAAGGUGGCUUUCUUUCGGAGAAAGUGUUUAUAGCCUUUGACUUCUGCAAUCGGAGAGAUUGAGGUCUGCAGCGUAGAUCCUUCGGGGUUAGAUACAUUUGUGCUAAGUUAUAGCCUUUCAUAGACAACUUGUUGACUAUGAUCAGUCAUGUAGCUUACUCGCUUAUGCUAUUUUACCUACGCUUAGGAUGUUGACGAUCAGCUGAGCGCG